AUGGCAUUUAAUCUGUUAUUAGACUCAAUUGGCUUCUCUCAAAAUGUAAAAGAACACACCCACCACUUUAAUCACACUCUAGAUCUUGUUUUAACAUAUGGCAUAGAAACUGAACAUUUAACAGUGUUUCCUGAAAACCCUCUCCUGUCUGACCAUUUCCUGAUAACAUUUACAUUUACAAUAACUGAUUACACAGCAGUGGAGAGUAGACUUUAUCACAGUAGAUGUCUUUCUGAAAGCGCUGUAACUAAGUUUAAGAAUAUAAUCCACCCACUGUUAUCAUCUUCAAUGCCCUGUACCAACAUAGAGCACAGCAGCUAUCUGAAUGCUACCCCAACAGAGGUCGAUUAUCUUGUUAAUAAUUUUACCACCUCACUACGUACGACGCUGGAUACUGUAGCUCCUGUGAAAACUAAGGCCUCAAAUCCGAAGUACCUGACUCCGUGGUAUAAUUCUCAAACACGUAGCCUAAAGCAGAUUACUCGUAAGCUGGAGAGGAAAUGGCGUGUCACAAAUUUAGAGGAUCAUCAAUUAGCCUGGAGAAAUAGUUUGCUGCUUUAUAAGAAAGCCCUCCGCAAAGCCAGAACAUCUUACUAUUCGUCACUGAUUGAAGAAAAUAAGAACAACCCCAGGUUUCUCUUCAGCACUGUAGCCAGGCUGACAAAAAGUCAGAGCUCUUUUGAGCCAACAAUCCCUUUAACAUUAACUAGUAAUGACGUCAUGAACUUCUUCACAAAUAAAAUUUUUAUCAUUAGAGAAAUAAUUACCAAUAAUCAUCUCACAGAUGUAAUAUUAUCUACAGCUACAUUUAGUACCAUUGAUAUUCAGUUAGACUCUUUAACUCCAAUUGAUCUUUCUGAGUUCACUUCAAUAAUUAAUUCCUCCAAACCAUCAACGUGUCUUUUAGACCCCAUUCCUACAAAACUGCUCAAAGAAGUCCUGCCAUUAAUUAAUUCUUCGAUCUUAAAUAUGAUCAACCUAUCUCUAAUAAUUGGCUAUGUACCACAGGCCUUCAAGGUGGCUGUAGUUAAACCUUUACUCAAAAAGUCAUCUCUAGACCCAGCUGUCUUAGCUAAUUAUAGGCCAAUCUCCAACCUUCCUUUCAUAUCAAAAAUCCUUGAAAGAGUAGUUGUCAAACAGCUAACAGAUCAUCUGCAGAGGAAUGGCUUAUUUGAAGAGUUUCAGUCAGGUUUCAGAGCUCAGCACAGCACAGAAACAGCUUUAGUGAAGGUUACAAAUGAUCUUCUUAUGGCCUCUGACAGUGGACUCAUCUCUGUGCUUGUCCUGCUAGACCUCAGUGCAGCGUUCGAUACUGUCGACCAUAAUAUCCUAUUAGAGCGACUAGAACAUGCUGUAGGUAUUAAAGGUACUGCACUGCAGUGGUUUGUAUCAUAUCUAUCUAAUAGACAAGGUCAAGGUCAAUUAUCAUAG
rnacentral:lncRNA from 1 species